GCGUAAGCGCGCGCAGGUGGUUUCUUAAGUCUGAUGUGAAAGCCCACGGCUCAACCGUGGAGGGUCAUUGGAAACUGGGAGACUUGAGUGCACAAGAGGAAAGUGGAAUUCCAUGUGUAGCGGUGAAAUGCGUAGAGAUAUGGAGGAACACCAGUGGCGAAGGCGACUUUCUGGUCUGUAACUGACACUGAGGCGCGAAAGCGUGGGGAGCAAACAGGAUUAGAUACCCUGGUAGUCCACGCCGUAAACGAUGAGUGCUAAGUGUUAGAGGGUUUCCGCCCUUUAGUGCUGAAGUUAACGCAUUAAGCACUCCGCCUGGGGAGUACGGCCGCAAGGCUGAAACUCAAAGGAAUUGACGGGGGCCCGCACAAGCGGUGGAGCAUGU
rnacentral:rRNA from 1 species